rnacentral:rRNA from 1 species
GACGAACGCUGGCGGCGUGCCUAAUACAUGCAAGUCGAACGAGAGCAACCGGUGCUUGCACUGGUCAAUCUAGUGGCGAACGGGUGAGUAACACGUGGGUAACCUGCCCAUCAGAGGGGGAUAACAUCCGGAAACGGAUGCUAAAACCGCAUAGGUCUUCGAACCGCAUGGUUUGAAGAGGAAAAGAGGCGCAAGCUUCUGCUGAUGGAUGGACCCGCGGUGCAUUAGCUAGUUGGUGAGGUAACGGCUCACCAAGGCCGGGAUGCAUAGCCGACCUGAGAGGGUGAUCGGCCACAUUGGGACUGAGACACGGCCCAAACUCCUACGGGAGGCAGCAGUAGGGAAUCUUCCGCAAUGGACGCAAGUCUGACGGAGCAACGCCGCGUGAGUGAAGAAGGUUUUCGGAUCGUAAAACUCUGUUGUUAGAGAAGAACAAGUGCUAGAGUAACUGUUAGCGCCUUGACGGUAUCUAACCAGAAAGCCACGGCUAACUACGUG